AGAGAGAGAGAGAGAGAGAGAGAGAGAGAGAGAGAGAGAGAGAGAGAGAGAGAGAGAGAAUAAACCAGAGGGGAAGAAAAGCUGAGAUGUUUGGGAAAUUCAGCUCUUCACCCGCCUCCAGGGAAGCUCCUCAAGUCUCCGCUGCCGCCGUGUAGGAAUCAGGAUCAUUGCCGGAGGAGGAGAACAGAAAAAUGUCCAGAGUCACAGCUAGUCAGUGGAAGCCUCUUCCAAGGAGUCUACACCAACUACAGACCCGGGCUGUGCGGAUCAGGCUCGAGUGCUUCCUUCUGUUCCAAGUUUGGCUUCCAGAGCUAACCGAAUUAAAAAGCGGCUUUGCAACUCAGAUGCUGUGCUUUUCUGAGAUUGUGUCUCCGCCAGGGAGCGUCAAGGCCUGGUCAGCCGGGGAGAGGACCUCCGAGGGGAUCAUAGUUUGGGGCAAGAACAUCAGGCACCAGAUCCAGACUGAAUUUCUGGCCCAGAACGUGUUGGGGAGGAGCACUCCUGCUUCUAGUGUUUCACUAGCUCUGGCAGCUCCUAUGGACUUUAUUUUGGGUCAUCUCCUCUACCAAGGGGUAGGGAAAGAGCCAGCACCGUCGGCAACAGAAGCAACCACAGCAAGAUCGGAUACCUUUGGAUACGAGGCAGGGUGGAUUCCUUUCGACUUCUCAGAAAAAUAUCUGAAGCCUACGGACUUCUCCAGGCUCUGACUUGAGCUGAAAAAAAAAUCACCCCCAGCUACUGCGCUCUGGAACAAAAGAACACAGGAAUAGAUGGAACCUUACUUCUGAAGCUCUCUCCGAGAGUCCUCAAAACCGAAGGACAUCGGGGACCUGACCAAGGAGAAACGGGAGGCAAGAGCAGAAACAGUAACCUCCGAGCAGAGAAAGAAUUUCAGCCAUGUGCUCAAAACACACUCGAACCUCUCUUGCCCAGGGCGACAGAAACAAAACAAAACAAACAAAAAAUUAAAAAGCAUUAUAUAAUAUCUGGGUAAGGUCUUAUUGUUCUAUAUUAUAUAAAACAUGUUCAA